CCAGGGAGGUCGGCAACGACCACCCAGGGCCGGAAAGUUGGUCAAACCCGGUCAUUUAGAGGAAGUAAAAGUCGUAACAAGGUCUCCGUAGGUGAACCUGCGGAGGGAUCAUU
rnacentral:rRNA from 2 species